rnacentral:rRNA from 1 species
AUUGAACGCUGGCGGCAUGCUUUACACAUGCAAGUCGAACGGUAACAGGCCUUCGGGCGCUGACGAGUGGCGAACGGGUGAGUAAUGCAUCGGAACGUGCCCAGUCGUGGGGGAUAACGCAGCGAAAGCUACGCUAAUACCGCAUACGAUCUACGGAUGAAAGCGGGGGAUGGCAAGACCUCGCGCGAUUGGAGCGGCCGAUAUCAGAUUAGGUUGUUGGUGAGGUAAAAGCUCACCAAGCCUGCGAUCUGUAGCUGGUCUGAGAGGACGACCAGCCACACUGGAACUGAGACACGGUCCAGACUCCUACGGGAGGCAGCAGUGGGGAAUUUUGGACAAUGGACGCAAGUCUGAUCCAGCAAUGCCGCGUGCAGGACGAAGGCCUUCGGGUUGUAAACUGCUUUUGUACGGAACGAAACGGUGAGCUCUAAUACAGUUUGCUAAUGACGGUACCGUAAGAAUAAGCACCGGCUAACUACGUGCCAGCAGCCGCGGUAACAC